AUUAAAAGUUAGUUUACUGCCUAUGAUGUUUGCAGGAAUGUAAAUGCAAUCCUGGCACAACAGCGCCAUCUGUUGGCAAUACAGCACAACAUCAGCAGGCAGUUAGUUAGACUGUGAGUGUGUGUGCGUGCAGUCGGUUGGACAAUGAACGUUGUUACCGAAGCACGUCGUUGUGAGCCUCGUGCGUAACAUGAAACACACAAACAUUACAUUAAAAAUCCAAUCCAAGAGGGUCGACAGGAGCGCUGCAAUUUUUCCGAGGAGAAAUGAAGUGGACAGACGAACGGCAACAACACAGCUAAGCUAAGCUAAGCUAAGCUAAACAAAGAAGCUAGCAGACACGUGGAGAUCUACACACGGAACAGGUAUGGCAGGAAACACCGAGAACCGAGAGAUGGGGACUGAGGCUUCAGCCCUACAACUACAAAGUUGAAUACAGAAAAGGAGCUGACAAUCCUGCCGACUACAUGUCUCGUCAACCCCUGCCAUCGCAGACUGCCGACAGCACACGUGCAGCAAAAGCAGCAGAGGAGUGUGUGAACUUCAUGGCAAGUCACGCAACACCUAAAGCCAUGACACUUGCUGAAAUCAAAGUGGAGACACUCAAAGACGCUAUCCUGCAAGAGUGAUCAGUUCUCCAAGUUUGCAGAUUAUCUUGGAUUUCAUCACCAUCGAAUCACACCUCUUUGGCCUCAAGCCAAUGCCACAGCAGAGAGAUUCAUGCGCACCCUGGGUAAAGCUGUUGGAGUUGCAGAAACACAAGGCAUCACAAGGCAAGAUGUUUACAAAGCUCCCAUCCUUCACUCAUUCUGCAAGCAACAGCUCAGACUCAGGGGUAAGAGCAAGAGACAGCAAGGCUAAAGCAAAGAUGAAACAACAUGCAGACUCUCAUCGUCAUGCUAUGCCACACACGCUCGCUCCAGGUGACCCAGUACUUCAUCGUCAGCCUAAGCACAAUAAACGGACUUCUCGAUACAACCCUACACCAUACGCUGUGAACAAAGUAAAAGGUUCCAUGGUCACAGCAGCAAGAGAUGGACACUCUAUUGUGAGGAACUCCUCAUUCUUCAAGAAUAUCUCUCCUGAGCUACAAGACGUCCUGCCAGAUUCUGCAGAUGGUGACUGUGAGACUGGAGAUGCCCCCAAUACUACACUGACACCAAGAUACCCUUCACAUCACAACAGACGUCCUCCCACCUACCUUAAGGAUUAUACCUAGCUCAUGGACCCAAAAAAAAAAAAAAGGACUGUAAGAGUUAAAAAAAAUAUAUGUAUGUUGUGAAUUGUGGAUUGGUUUGGUUAAGUUUUGUAAAGAAAAUAUUCUCUCAUUGCAGAAGCUUUAGUUCCCAUUUCAUAUAUAGUGUGUUUAUACACAUAGUUCCAAAGUAUAUGUUUGGAAAUACUGUAAUGGUCUGGUUCACUUGCAAUAAUCUUUGCCAAUAGUUACUAUGUGUUCAGCGUCCAAAACAAACUACUCACCAGCUGUAUCAAGUGUUAAUAUUGGCAGCAAUUAUAUUUGGUAUUAUUAUUGUCAUUAUUUUCUUUUGGAAAAAAAAGGGCAAUAUGAUGUUUGCAGGAAUGUAGCGCAAUCCUGGCACAACAGCGCCAUCUGUUGGAAAUACAGCGUAACAUCAGAAGGCAGUUAGUUAGACUGUGAUGGUGUGUGCAUGCAGUCAGUCGGACAAUAAACGGCGUUACCGAA